rnacentral:rRNA from 1 species
AUUGAACGCUGGCGACAUGCCUUACACAUGCAAGUCGAACGGCAGCACGGGUGCUUGCACCUGGUGGCGAGUGGCGAACGGGUGAGUAAUACAUCGGAACAUGUCCUGUAGUGGGGGAUAGCCCGGCGAAAGCCGGACUAAUACCGCAUACGAUCUACGGAUGAAAGCGGGGGACCUUCGGGCCUCGCGCUAUAGGGUUGGCCGAUGGCUGAUUAGCUAGUUGGUGGGGUAAAGGCCUACCAAGGCGACGAUCAGUAGCUGGUCUGAGAGGACGACCAGCCACACUGGGACUGAGACACGGCCCAGACUCCUACGGGAGGCAGCAGUGGGGAAUUUUGGACAAUGGGCGAAAGCCUGAUCCAGCAAUGCCGCGUGUGUGAAGAAGGCCUUCGGGUUGUAAAGCACUUUUGUCCGGAAAGAAAUCCUUGGCCCUAAUACGGUCGGGGGAUGACGGUACCGGAAGAAUAAGCACCGGCUAACUACGUG